GACGAACGCUGGCGGCGUGCUUAACACAUGCAAGUCGAACGGGAUAAUUUGAGAGCUUGCUCUUAGAGAAUCUAGUGGCAAACGGGUGAGUAACACGUAGACAACCUGCCGACAGGAUGGGGACAACAUUCCGAAAGGAAUGCUAAUACCGAAUGAAGCGGAGGAGAGGCAUCUCUCCUCCGUGAAAGAUGGCCUCUGAAUAUGCUAUCACCUGUCGAUGGGUCUGCGUCUGAUUAGCUAGUUGGUGAGGUAACGGCUCACCAAGGCGACGAUCAGUAGCCGGUCUGAGAGGAUGAACGGCCACAUUGGGACUGAGACACGGCCCAGACUCCUACGGGAGGCAGCAGUGGGGAAUCUUCCGCAAUGGGCGCAAGCCUGACGGAGCAACGCCGCGGGAGUGAAGAAGGUCUUCGGAUCGUAAAGCUCUGUUGACGGGGACGAACGUGCGAAGGGUGAAUAAUCCUUUGUAAUGACGGUACCUGUCGAGGAAGCCACGGCUAACUACGUG
rnacentral:rRNA from 1 species